AUCAUGGCUCAGGACGAACGCUGGCGGCGUGCCUAAUACAUGCAAGUCGAACGAACUCUGGUAUUGAUUGGUGCUUGCAUCAUGAUUUACAUUUGAGUGAGUGGCGAACUGGUGAGUAACACGUGGGAAACCUGCCCAGAAGCGGGGGAUAACACCUGGAAACAGAUGCUAAUACCGCAUAACAACUUGGACCGCAUGGUCCGAGUUUGAAAGAUGGCUUUGGCUAUCACUUUUGGAUGGUCCCGCGGCGUAUUAGCUAGAUGGUGGGGUAACGGCUCACCAUGGCAAUGAUACGUAGCCGACCUGAGAGGGUAAUCGGCCACAUUGGGACUGAGACACGGCCCAAACUCCUACGGGAGGCAGCAGUAGGGAAUCUUCCACAAUGGACGAAAGUCUGAUGGAGCAACGCCGCGUGAGUGAAGAAGGGUUUCGGCUCGUAAAACUCUGUUGUUAAAGAAGAACAUAUCUGAGAGUAACUGUUCAGGUAUUGACGGUAUUUAACCAGAAAGCCACGGCUAACUACGUGCCAGCAGCCGCGGUAAUACGUAGGUGGCAAGCGUUGUCCGGAUUUAUUGGGCGUAAAGCGAGCGCAGGCGGUUUUUUAAGUCUGAUGUGAAAGCCUUCGGCUCAACCGAAGAAGUGCAUCGGAAACUGGGAAACUUGAGUGCAGAAGAGGACAGUGGAACUCCAUGUGUAGCGGUGAAAUGCGUAGAUAUAUGGAAGAACACCAGUGGCGAAGGCGGCUGUCUGGUCUGUAACUGACGCUGAGGCUCGAAAGUAUGGGUAGCAAACAGGAUUAGAUACCCUGGUAGUCCAUACCGUAAACGAUGAAUGCUAAGUGUUGGAGGGUUUCCGCCCUUCAGUGCUGCAGCUAACGCAUUAAGCAUUCCGCCUGGGGAGUACGGCCGCAAGGCUGAAACUCAAAGGAAUUGACGGGGGCCCGCACAAGCGGUGGAGCAUGUGGUUUAAUUCGAAGCUACGCGAAGAACCUUACCAGGUCUUGACAUACUAUGAAAAUCUAAGAGAUUAGACGUUCCCUUCGGGGACAUGGAUACAGGUGGUGCAUGGUUGUCGUCAGCUCGUGUCGUGAGAUGUUGGGUUAAGUCCCGCAACGAGCGCAACCCUUAUUAUCAGUUGCCAGCAUUAAGUUGGGCACUCUGGUGAGACUGCCGGUGAC
rnacentral:rRNA from 2 species